rnacentral:rRNA from 1 species
AUUGAACGCUGGCGGCAGGCCUAACACAUGCAAGUCGAGCGAGCGGCGGACGGGUGAGUAAUGCCUGGGAAACUGCCUGAUGGAGGGGGAUAACUACUGGAAACGGUAGCUAAUACCGCAUACCAUCAGAUGUGCCCAGAUGGGUUUAGCUAGUAGGUGGGGUAACGGCUACCCUAGGCGACGAUCCCUAGCUGGUUUGAGCGGAUGACCAGCCAAACGGGAACUGAGACACGGUCCAGACUCCUACGGGAGGCAGCAGUGGGGAAUAGUGCACAAUGGGCGAAAGCCUGAUGCAGCCAUGCCGCGUGUGUGAAGAAGGCCUUCGGGUUGUAAAGCACUUUCAGCGGGGAGGCGUUACCCGCAGAAGAAGCACCGGCUAACUCCGUGCCAGCAGCCGCGGUAAUAC